rnacentral:rRNA from 1 species
CCUUACUAUAAGUGUUGUCUAGAGGCUUGGUGCCAGAAGACUCGGUAAGACCAGAAACGCAAACGUUAGUCAUCUUAAUCAGGCGUAAAGGGUAUGUAGGCAGCUUUAAAGUUUUAUUUUCUCAUCUCCCUCCUCCCACCUCCCAUCUCCCACCUUCCCAUCUAUAGAUGAUUGGUGCUUUCAUCAAUGAUGGGAUGAUUGGUGCUUGGUGCUUGGUGAAUGAUGGAAGAUAGCUCUUUUUUUAAUUAAAUAGUAAAAAUAGUAAAAAUAAAAUUAAUUUAAAGCUAGAAUCAAAUAGAGGAAAAACCAAAUAAUACUUAGAGUAGGGAUGAUAUCCAUAGAUACUAAGGGGAAUA